rnacentral:rRNA from 1 species
GGUUUUUAAUAUAGAGAAUAAAAUCCUUGUAAUAAAACUAAAAGGACGCGGUAACCUUGACCGUGAUAAUGUAGCAUAAUCACUCGCCAUUUAAUUGAUGGAUAGUAUGAAUGGUUGAACGAAUAUUUCACUGUCUUAAAAAAAACCAAAUAAAAUUAAAAUAAUAGUUAAGAUGCUAUUUUAAACUGUAAGACGAAAAGACCCUAUAGAGCUUAACUAUAAUCUUUUUUUUAAAUAUAAAAUAUUAUUUUUUAUAUUAGAAAGAUUGGUAGUUUAGUUGGGGCGACUACCUUCUAUAUAAAACGAAGGUAAGCAAAGUUAAUAAAAAACUUAUUAUAUAAAUAAAAUAUUUAAUAAUUACAAAAGUAGGCUAUAGUGACCCGUUAGUAUUAUAUAAAAAACCUAACGAUCAAUUAAUAAAAGCUACCUUAGGGAUAACAGGAUAAUUUCAUUCUAGAGUUCUUAUCGAAAAUGAAGUUUGUCACCUCUAUGUUGAAUUAA